UUUUGAGUCUGGGAAGUCCAAGGUCAAGGUGCUGGCAGAUUUGGUGUCCGAUGAGGGCCUGUUUCCUUUGCAGAUGGACCUCUUCUCAAGUUGUUCCACUCCAUAAGUUCCCUCCUGGAGGAUGUGUGAGACACCAGGCUGCAUGUUAGAAACGGCUGUGCUCCGGAAGGCUACCAGGGUCAUCGUGAGGGCCUUGCAGAUUUCAGAAAUGAAGUGACCUGCCUUGAGUCUUCCCUCAGCCUCCUCACUCCACUGUAGUCUCAGGAGAGUGAGGACAACAAAACUCUCUUCUCCCCACAUUACCACUUCAGCGCUGACCUGUGGCUUGAGAAUCUAAUCUGUGUGCACCGUGGCAAAGUCUUGGUUUUACAGGUCUCACCUGACAGCUAGUCCUGAUUUUUCCAUGAUGUGUGGGUAAAAAGUGGGUUCUUGAAGGGAAACCUCAAUGUAGCUUAGCUCUUGAGAAAACAGUAUGUGCAUAUGCUUCUUGGAUAGAAAAAGAAAAAGGAAUGAGAGAGGAAAACGAAGUCUUAUAGAAAAACCUGGCCGGAUGCGGUGGCUCACACCUGUAAUCCCAACACUUUGGGAGGCCAAGGUGGGCAGAUCAUGAGGUCAAGAGAUCGAGACCAUCCUGGCCAACAUGGUGAAACCCCGUCUCUACUAAAAAUACAAAAAGUAGCUGGGUGUGGUGGUGUGCACCUGUAGUCCCAGCUACUUGGGAGGCUGAGGCAGGAGAAUCACUUAAACCUGGGGGCGGAGGUUGCAGUGAGCCGAGAUCACGCCACUCCACUCCAGCCUGGCGACAGAGCGAGGCUCCAUCUCAAAAAAAAAAAAAAGAAAAAAGAAAAAAGAAAAACCUGCAAAACAUUAAGAAGGAAGUGAUCAUUAAUACUGAGACAAACUGCUUUCUUCUAUAUUAAGUAUAUGAGAAUAAUUUUGUGAUUUGUGAUUUGUUUCUCCAUUCCAAACCUGAGAAAGGGGAGGCAAAUUAUUUUUAUGUUGCUAUUCAUAUAUAGGCUGUUACCUGUAUAAAGUUUAAAUAUAUAAUUCUGAUACUGUGGUUAAAUGAGAUUCUAAGACCAGUGAGUAGGGGCAGGUGUUAGGAAUGGUCAAAUCAAUAAUGUAGACAUUGAAAUGUUCACAAAUGAUAGACUGUGAUAUUUACUCUUAUACUCAUGAUUUUUUAGUGGCUGUGGAAUUUGGGGCAGUGUUUCCAGUCCCAUUCUGUCCAUUUUAUUUGUUAAGGUAAUCAUCCAAGACCAUACCUGAUGGGGGAAAGUGUAUAUGGAGGGAUGUAACUUUCUAAGAGGUUGUCUUAAAAGGAGGACUGAUGACAUUCCUUCUCCUUAAUUUAUAUACUGUGUGUUUACUGUUCUCAACUUAGAGCUCAGGUUACUCCAGUCAAGACCACAGCAAAUUUGGGAAGAGAAGACCUCUAAGAAAUUGCCUAGCAUGAUUGUUAAUCAAAGUACUGCUAGUAAUUCUAUUAUUAUUACAGACAUUUCUUAUGUUCCAGGACUGGCUAAACACUUUAUAUACAAAAUUUUAUCUCAUUUAAUCCUUACAACAGUCCAGAAAAAGGCAUUGUAAUCCUUGUUAUACAGAUGAGGAGAUUAAGGUUUAGAGAGGUAAGGUCAUUUGCCCAAGGUCACUGAGCUUGGAAAUAAUGAGACUAGGAUUUUAAUCCAAAUACUUGUGUUCUUAAGAAUUACACUGCUUUUACAUUAAAGCUGCUAGAAACAUUUUUUUUAAACCUAUAUUUCAAACAAGAGUCAAAACAAAACCAGAAAAGUCCAAAGCCAAUUUACAGCCUGAUUUCUUCUUGGCCUUGUAAUGCUGAGUGAAAAUUGCUGAGCCUUUGGUUUGGGAGAAGCAUUUGAAAUGCAAUACAGGAGAAAAUCUUGAUGCCAGGAGUUGCCUCAUGUUUGCCUUUAAACCAUAAUGGCCCCGAGCUCCAGUACUAGAGUCAGAUUUAUUAAUCACCCAUUAUGUGCCAGGUCCUGCAGUUCCUUUGGGUGAUGGAAAGUGUCGGCUUUACAGUUGACAGAGCACACUUGCCGACAUAAAUCCCCACACCGCGCCCUGGAGCCAAUUCAGUGUACACGCCAAAGCAGGAAACUGAGGCUUGGAAAAAAUAAGGUCCAGGCUUAGAAAGUGUGAAAGAAAGGACUCAAAUGAGGUCAUUUGCUCCCUGUCCGAGGGCUAACUGUACUGCUUCAGGCUCCAUUAUGAAAAACGCACACAGAGUUCACCCAUACCUCAUGCCCUGUCCCUCCCAUUUUCAACCUGUCAUCCGUGACAAACCUGCUUUUUCUUCUGUUGCUUUCUGAAACUUCUUUUGAAUUUGCUUUCUCAGCAUCAGUAGGGUCAAUGUGAACUGACUUACUUUGUAAGUUGUGAAUAAAUGUUCAUUUUUUUUCUAAAAAA